UACGUAGGUGGCGAGCGUUGUCCGGAUUUACUGGGCGUAAAGAGCGCGCAGGCGGUCGUUCAAGUCGCGUGUGAAAGCCCCCGGCUCAACUGGGGAGGGUCACGCGAUACUGAUCGACUCGAAGGCAGGAGAGGGAAGUGGAAUUCCCGGCGUAGUGGUGAAAUGCGUAGAUAUCGGGAGGAACACCAGUGGCGAAGGCGACUUCCUGGCCUGUUCUUGACGCUGAGGCGCGAAAGCUAGGGGAGCAAACGGG
rnacentral:rRNA from 1 species